rfam:Betaproteobacteria bacterium TKL13-2, complete genome.
GGGGGUAUAGCUCAGCUGGGAGAGCGCUUGCAUGGCAUGCAAGAGGUCAGCAGUUCGAUCCUGCUUAUCUCCA